UGGCCGUAAAUCCUUUGCACAGAUUGGAAAUGAAAUGAAAAAGAACCAGUCGACCCCUGAUACACCUACAAAGGCGGAUAUAUAUCCUAAAACGCGCCAAGGUCAUGAUAAGAAGACUGAAAAGGACACUGAGAAGGACAAUGAAAAGGACAAUGAAAAGGACAAUGACAAAGAAACUGAGAAAGACAAUGAGGCUGAAGAAG